GGAUGUGAGGGUGAUCUGGCUGCGACAUCUGUCACCCCAUUGAUCGCCAGGGUUGAUUCGGCUAGGCAGGUGUCCCCUUCCUCCCUCAUCGCUCCAAGUGCGUCCCUCCUGAAGCUGCCCACUUGGUCGAAGAGGACGGCUUUCCUCAAAUAGAGAUGGACCGGUCUUCAGUCAUACCAGUAGCUUCACUCCCCUGCUAGAACCUCCAAACAAGCUUUCAAGACUGAUAGAGUGCAAGGACCUAUGAAGGAUCUGGGUUUGAGGCCCCAUUCCCC
rfam:Erinaceus europaeus unplaced genomic scaffold scaffold00039, whole genome shotgun sequence